UCGGGAAUUUUGGGCAAUGGGGGAAACCCUGACCCAGCAACGCCGCGUGAAGGAUGAAGUAUUUCGGUAUGUAAACUUCGAAAGAAUAGGAAGAAUAAAUGACGGUACUAUUUAUAAGGUCCGGCUAACUACGUGCCAGCAGCCGCGGUAAUACGUAGGGACCAAGCGUUGUUCGGAUUUACUGGGCGUAAAGGGCGCGUAGGCGGCAUGACAAGUCACUUGUGAAAUCUCUGGGCUUAACCCAGAACGGCCAAGUGAUACUGUCGCGCUAGAGUGCAGAAGGGGCAAUCGGAAUUCUUGGUGUAGCGGUGAAAUGCGUAGAUAUCAAGAGGAACACCUGAGGUGAAGGCGGCCACCUGGUUGGAUACUGACGCUGAGACGCGAAAGCGUGGGGAGCAAACAGGAUUAGAUACCCAUGUAGUCCCUGAGCGGGCUGGCAAGGCGCAU
rnacentral:rRNA from 1 species